AUAAAGCGCUCGCCCGCGGCCCCGCCGGGCUCAGGCGAUCCGGCUGCAGAACUCGAGAAAGUCUCUCUCCAUGAAGAGCUCGCUCUCCAGCACAUCGUCCUCGGAAGGGAAGUACUGCUGGCUCUCCUCCUGCGCCAGGAGAGGAGCUGCCGGCGGGGGCUCGGCCGGGCGGGGCGUCGCAUCCUCGGCGGGGCCCGUCAGCGCCCCGCGGGCGUUCUCCAGCACCCCCAGGUACGAGUCCAUGUCCAGCGGGUCCAUCUCGCAGUCCGACCCGCCGCUCUCGGUGCCCACCGAGUCCGAGCGCAGGUGCAUCAGCUGGUACUUCUCCCGCAUCAGGAACUGGUUGGUGUUGCGGGGCGCCCGCAUGCCCGGCGCCCGCCGGCCCAGCAAGUUGACGGGCCGCAGGGAGAGCAGCACCCGCGGCCGGUAGGGCCGGUGGCAGCGGCGGACGGCGCGGCAGCGCUGCUGCAGCUGCAGGGAGUGCUGCAGGUGGCUGUGCGUGCGGCUGCCCAGCAGCUUCCGCCACACGCCGGGCUGCCCGCCCCGCCGCCCGGGAGGCCACCGCGAGCGGCUGCCGCCCCGCCGCGCCUCGCCCUUCGGCAGCGGGCAGCCGGCGCCCGGCAGCCCCUCUCCGCGUGCGGGCGCCCAGCGGGGCCGCCGCGCUCCGCUCCACGCCGCCGGCUCCGCGCGUCGCAGCAUCGCGGCCGCGCUCUCACAUGCUCCCGUCCGCCGCCGGGACGCUCCGACUCCGACGCCGCCCGUCCGCGCGGCUCCGCUCAGCCCCGGGCUCGGCUGCCGCUCCCCGGAGCCGUGCCGCCGCUCCGUGCCGCCUCCCCGCCUGCGGGGCCUCGCCGGCCGCCUCUACCUUUUCACGAUCCGCUCCGUUUUUUUCUUGAGCGGAGCCCGUCUGCAGCGCAUAGCCUGGACGAAGGGCUGCGGGCCGCGGGGCAGCUUGACCGGCGCCGGGCCGCCGCUGACAGACGCUCGGCCCGCUCCCACGCUGUCAGCGCUCCGCCGGGGAACGAGGAGCCGCGGCCGGGCCCGGGAGGAGCGCGGGGAACGCCUCGCACCGCACCCUCCGCCGCCGCCCCACGCCGACUGGCGGCGCGCACCCGCACACUCCUCCUUAUAGCCUCCGGCGCAGCCCAUGCCCCGGCGCCGCGGGGGUGCACGGAGGGCGGCACGGCCGCUCCCGACGCAGCCCGUCCUCCCGGCGCUCGCCCUGUGUGA
rnacentral:lncRNA from 1 species